CCUAGGAUUUCCUUUAGUUUUCCCUUUUCUCCUUCUCUCUCUUCCUCCUCGGCCGCACGGACUAAUCUCUCUUUCUUUCUUUCUCAUCUCUCUGAUCUCACCGAAAUCGCCACUUCCAGCCACUACCACACUACACCGCCAUCACCAUAACACAAAUCCGACCAAGAUCCAGUUGUUUCGCCGCCGAUCAAGACGUUUCGGUCACCGCACUCGACCUCCAAACCUGCGACGCCACUGUUCCACAACCUUCACCUGUUUCCAGUCAUCCCCUUUACCACACCACCAUCACCGCUGCACUCAGGGAGCAAUGGAGAAGAAAACCCAGAGGUUUCAUCACCCACCGAUGCCGGACGAGGCCGUACAAGUUGUCGCCGAAAUCUGGGAUUCUGCAAGUAUCGAUUCGUCGUUUCCGGCCACUCGAGCUGCACGACCACCAUAGUUGGAAUCAUAGCCUCUUCAUUUUUCAAAACCCUCUAGCUCCGACCUUUGCUUCAGCCAGAACAGCCGCACUCGCUGCCACUGCCGUGUGGACCACCGUGACUCCGCCACCUGAUUUCUGGGCCAUCUUUAUUAGUUUUUGAUUAGGCAUUCUGAAGUUUUUGGAGAAAGGAAUGGGCAUUGGUUCAGUUUGAUGUAUAAUGAAGGAAGGAGUUUGAAUGGUUGUUGGUGGUGGAAGACUACACUUAGUAAGAAUUGGCCCUCUGUUUGGAGAUGAAGAAUCGGACUCGAGCGUGACUACUUGAGAUAGAACGAAAGCUCAAUAUCGAAAAUGAUUGAACGGAGAAAUUUCCGAGCUCUUGACUUAGGAUGGAUGAGCUGACGGUUAUUGCAUUUGAAUCACUUUUGCAGGGCUAGAUUAGUUGAGGUCAGGCGUACAUGAAGUUGAGGCAUAGUUGUCACUGCUUCCGCAUUGUAGGAUCUGUCGAUCCUUCACCCUCUUUACUUUUAUUUCUAUUAUAUCUUUUGUUUUAGAAUUGCUCUGAUAAUCUGUAGGUUAAUGUUAUUAAGUUGAGAUUUGUGUGUUGUGAAUUGGAAGAUGUUGUGAUUUGGGGAGCAGGGUGGCUCCAGGAGAAAAAGAUGGAUUGCUUAGAAGUUUGAAUGUCUUUCUACAGGCUUUGGGUAGUCCAUUUUUAGGGAGAGUUCCGCCAAAUCUUUGGUAGAAUUUCCUCUAAGGUGGGCCCGCAGAGUCACUUCGGAUUUCAGGGUGAAAUCCGAGGCGGGUCCUGUCACUAUCAACUAAUCAGAUAUCCACCAGGUCAUCCAAAAGGGAAAUCAAACCGCUUGAAAAAUGAUGGGAACCAUGGUCAUAUUUCUGCAGCCAAUCAAGUCUCCGAAUGAUCGACUAAAGAUGAGGUAAAAUCUGUGAUAUCAGGAAUUUCCGAAGCCCAACUUCAACAACUCUUGUCUUUUCUUAGUACCAAAGAUGGGAGUGCUAAUGAUGGUGGUACUAAUUCUCAAGCUCAUGCAGCCGUGACCAUACUAGGAUCUGGUUACGAGGAGAAUGAUUGGUUUGGGUAAACAGCGUAAUGGCCUAUACUUGGUGGCAUUAGCGACGAAGAAAACAUUGACCAACCCUCCUUCAGUCUUAAACCACCAACUAGCUUGCAACCUUACCACCUCAUCCACUGAUCUGUGGCACAGUCGUUUAGGCCAUGUUUCCUUUUCUCGAUUAAGUUUUAUUGCCAAGAAUUUUUUGAAUAUUUCUGUUAAUUCUAAUAACGCUUGCUAUAUAUGUCCUUUGGCUAAGCAAAGUCGUUUGCCUUUUGUUACUA